AGGUAGUUAACAUCUCCUAGCCACCGUGGCGCCGCACGUGGACACCACGCGGGGACGCGGGGAGACACGCAGACAGCAUCGGAGGAGACACGAGCAGAGUCUAUCUAGCCGGGCGGUGGUGGCUACUCGCGUGGCGUGGAAUCCGAUGUCGUGGAGAAGAGAGUUUGGCAGGUCACCAAAAAUGACGUGAACCUCCAUCUCCCUUCCCGUGAGCGGGCGUUGAGGAGGUGCCCUUUACCCUGGCUCGCCAGCAAAGUGCAGACUAAUCUCGUCAGCCCCAUCAGUGCGGGAUCGAGCGUUGCUCCCCCGCGCACGCGUGGGCUAUCUCCCGCAUGCGAGCACUCAUUAAUCGGCCAACUUCAAGUCGAAGUUAUUGUAAUUAUUAAAUAAUCUAGAGCAGGAAAUGGCACCUGACAAUCACCUGGCACAUGGGAGGAGACGCCGGCGGAAUCCGGAGAGGAAAUUACGCUUCGCCGACAGCGCCAAGAGAUUUUUGAGCAGCAGCCUGCGUGGAAGACGCCGAUUAAUAACGGAGCUUCCCAGGACUCGAGUUCGCUGACGGUGCUCUACGUAACGCCGAGCCGACCUUGGGGAGGCCCAGGG